CUCGUAGGCGGCCAACUAAGUCGGAUGUGAAAUCCCCAGGCUCAACUUGGGAACUGCAUCCGAUACUGGAUGGCUUGAAUUCGGGAGAGGGAUGCAGAAUUCCAGGUGUAGCGGUGAAAUGCGUAGAUAUCUGGAGGAAUACCGGUGGCGAAGGCGGCAUCCUGGACCGACAUUGACGCUGAGGAGCGAAAGCUAGGGAGCAAACG
rnacentral:rRNA from 1 species